UACGGGGGGGGCAAGCGUUGUUCGGAAUUACUGGGCGUAAAGGGCUCGUAGGUGGCCAACUAAGUCAGACGUGAAAUCCCUCAGCUUAACUGGGGAACUGCGUCUGAUACUGGAUGGCUUGAGUUUGGGAGAGGGAUGUGGAAUUCCACGUGUAGCGGUGAAAUGCGUAGAGAUGUGGAGGAACACCAGUGGCGAAGGCGACUCUUUGGCCUGUAACUGACGCUGAGGCGCGAAAGCGUGGGGAGCAAACAGG
rnacentral:rRNA from 1 species